rfam:Thermobacillus composti KWC4, complete genome.
AAAAAAAGCGGGACUCCCUCACGGGAGCCCCAGCAUGGGAGAGGAGAAACCGGACGAAGAGCUUAUGGGGAAACGUAAGUCUUCUCCGCGG